AAUUUUGGACAAUGGGGGAAACCCUGAUCUAGCCAUCCCGCGUGUAGGAUGAAGGUCUNGGGGUUNUNAUGUACCUUUGGCAGAGNAGAAAAGGUAUUCCCUAAUACGGGAUACUGCUGACGGUCUCUGCAGAAUAAGCACCGGCUAACUACGUGCCAGCAGCCGCGGUAAUACGUAGGGUGCAAGCGUUAAUCGGAAUUACUGGGCGUAAAGCGAGUGUAGGCGGUUCGGAAGGAAAGGUGUGAAAUCCCAGGGCUCAACCUUGGAACUGCAUUUUUAACUGACGAGCUAGAGUAUGUCAGAGGGGGGUAGAAGUCCACGUGUAGGAGUGAAAUGCGUAGAUAUGUGGAGGAAUACCGAUGGCGAAGGCAGCCCCCUGGGAUAAUACUGACGCUCAGACACGAAAGCGUGGGGAGCAAACAGG
rnacentral:rRNA from 1 species